UACAGAGGUCUCAAGCGUUGUUCGGAUUCAUUGGGCGUAAAGGGUGCGUAGGCGGCGCGGUAAGUCGGGUGUGAAAUCUUGGAGCUUAACUCCGAAACUGCAUUCGAUACUGCCGUGCUUGAGGACUGGAGAGGAGACUGGAAUUUACGGUGUAGCGGUGAAAUGCGUAGAUAUCGGAAGGAACGCCGGUGGCGAAAGCGACGUGCUGGACCUCUUCUGACGCUGAGGCGCGAAAGCCAGGGGAGCGAACGGG
rnacentral:rRNA from 1 species